UUUCUUCUGAUAUUUUGAUCUGAGACUGAGAGAGAACUAACUAUCUCGAUCUAGAGACGUCGGCUCAUUUCCAUCGGAGAUUCUGAGAUUUCGCUGCAAAAUGGAGGACAUGGGGGCCGACAUGGACUAACGAUUCGAAGAUGGAGGUUUCUGGCGAGGCCAGCAUACGAACCGUCGUCGUCGUCGCCCUUGGUGUUCGCAACACGAGGGAUCUGCGAGAAAUUUGCAUAAAAUCUUCGAAAGUGUAGCAUCGAAGAAAUUUGUGCAUACGAACCGUCGUCGUCGGCCUUGGUGCUCUCGAUCUGCGAGAAAUUUGCAUGAUAUAUCGCAGAAGCUUGUGAUCGGCCUCGGUCUCCGAGACCUUGGUUGGGUUGCGUAAAGAGAAGCAUCUUCAGACCCAUUCAUUGCAUAGCUUCCACUUCCAGCGAAGAUCUUCAGCCCUUAUGUAAAGGUUGAAAAUGCAAACGGGUCCCUGCCGAGAAGGCAUAGGUUUGUUUAAGAUGAAGCGAAGGUCGCUGCUGAGAAGGCUUCGGAUCUUGUUGGGAUAUUGAACAGCACGGAAUGCUUUUUUUGUGUGCGCGCGCGUUUCUUUUUUAAUUUUAUAAUUUUUUCAGCUCAUAUAAUGAAUGAGGACAAUGAAUUACUGAAAACAGAAACAAUUAGAUCGCAGGUACCAAUAACAUGAAACUGGACCCAAAA